rnacentral:ncRNA from 1 species
GAUAACGCGAUGAAAAAGAAAGUAAAGUAAGGAUAUGCGCCAAAGAGAGUUCCUGGCUGGUGAGAGGGAAUGCAAAUAACUUAUUUGAAAAUGGCUUUUGAGUGGAUUUCCCGAAACGUUUAAGGAAAUACGGUUGCCCCCGUUAACUAGGCACAGUCUCCAAUGAUUUGGGUACUGAUCGAGGUAGAGUCUGUGAAGUCUUUACAUUUAAAGGUGGUAACGCAUGUCCAAUGCCCUUAGC